AACGAACGCUGGCGGCGUGGAUAAGACAUGCAAGUCGAGCGCUGAUUUCAGGGUAGCAAUAUUCUGAAGUUGGAGCGGCGCAAGGGUGCGUAACACGUGGGUAAUCUGCCGUGAAGUUGGGGAUAACUCGCUGAAAGGCGAGCUAAUACCGGAUGUGAAAAUUGAAAGGCAUCUUUUGAUUUUUAAAGUUGGGGAUCGUAAGACCUGACGCUUCAUGAUGAACCCGCGGCCUAUCAGCUAGUUGGUGAGGUAACGGCUCACCAAGGCUAAGACGGGUAGCUGGUCUGAGAGGACGACCAGCCACACUGGAACUGAGACACGGUCCAGACACCUACGGGUGGCAGCAGUCGAGAAUUUUUCACAAUGGGCGAAAGCCUGAUGGAGCGACGCCGCGUGGGGGAUGAAUGGCUUCGG
rnacentral:rRNA from 1 species